AACCGAACCGCUUGGCGGGCGUGCCUAACACAUACAAGUCGAACGAGAACUCCGGGCUUGCUCGGAGAAGUACAGUGGCGCACGGGUGAGUAACGCGUGGGUAACCUACCCUUGAAUCUGGGAUAACCCCGCGAAAGCGGGACUAAUACCGGAUAUGGUUCCAUAAGCCUUGGCUCUUGGAAUUAAAGGUGACCUCUUCAUGAAAGUUGCCGUUCAGGGACGGGCUCGCGUACCAUUAGCUUGUUGGUAGGGUAAUGGCCUACCAAGGCUACGAUGGUUAGCUGGUCUGAGAGGAUGAUCAGUCACACUGGAACUGGAACACGGUCCAGACUCCUACGGGAGGCAGCAGUGGGGAAUUUUGCGCAAUGGGGGAAGCCCUGACGCAGCAACCCGCGUGAGCGAAGGAGGCCUUCGGGUCGUAAAGCUCUGUCAAGUGGGAAAAAAGCCUUUCGGUUAAUACCCGGAAGGUCUGAUGGUACCACUGGAGGAAGCACCGGCUAACUCCGUGCCAGCAGCCGCGGUAAUACGGAGGGUGCAAGCGUUGUUCGGAUUUACUGGGCGUAAAGGGCGUGCAGGCGGUUUGGUAAGUCAGAUGUGAAAGCCCUGGGCUUAACCCGGGAAGUGCAUUUGAAACUGCCUUUCUUGAGUAUGGGAGAGGAGAGUGGAAUUCCCAGUGUAGAGGUGAAAUUCGUAGAUAUUGGGAGGAACACCCGUGGCGAAGGCGACUCUCUGGACCAAUACUGACGCUGAGACGCGAAAGCGUGGGGAGCAAGUAGGAUUAGAUACCCUGGUAGUCCACGCUGUAAACGAUGAGAACUAGGUGUAGCGGGUAUUGACCCCUGCUGUGCCGAAGUUAACGCAUUAAGUUCUCCGCCUGGGGAGUACGGCCGCAAGGCUAAAACCAAAGGAAUUGACGG
rnacentral:rRNA from 1 species